rnacentral:rRNA from 1 species
UUGACCUCGGAUCAGGUAGGAAUACCCGCUGAACUUAAGCAUAUCAAUAAGCGGAGGAAAAGAAACCAACAGGGAUUGCCCCAGUAACGGCGAGUGAAGCGGCAACAGCUCAAAUUUGAAAUCUGGCCCCUAGGGUCCGAGUUGUAAUUUGUAGAGGAUGCUUUUGGUGAGGUGCCGCCCGAGUUCCCUGGGAACGGGACGCCACAGAGGGUGAGAGCCCGUCUGGCUGGCCACCGAGCCUCUGUAAAGCUCCUUCGACGAGUCGAGUAGUUUGGGAAUGCUGCUCAAAAUGGGAGGUAUAUGUCUUCUAAAGCUAAAUAUUGGCCAGAGACCGAUAGCGCACAAGUAGAGUGAUCGAAAGAUGAAAAGCACCUUGAAAAGAGGGUUAAACAGUACGUGAAAUUGUUGAAAGGGAAGCGCUUGUGACCAGACUUGGGCGCGGCGGAUCAUCCGGGGUUCUCUCCGGUGCACUUCGCCGCGUUCAGGCCAGCAUCAGUUCGGCGCGGGGGAAAAAGGCUUCGGGAACGUGGCUGCUCCGGCAGUGUUAUAGCCCGUUGCAUAAUACCCUGCGCUGGACUGAGGACCGCGCAUCUGCAAGGAUGCUGGCGUAAUGGUCACCAGCGACCCGUCUUGAAACACGGACCAAGGAGUCGUCUUCGUAUGCGAGUGUUCGGGUGUCAAACCCCUACGCGUAAUGAAAGUGAACGCAGGUGAGAGCUUCGGCGCAUCAUCGACCGAUCCUGAUGUUCUCGGAUGGAUUUGAGUAAGAGCAUACGGGGCCGGACCCGAAAGAAGGUGAACUAUGCCUGUAUAGGGUGAAGCCAGAGGAAACUCUGGUGGAGGCUCGCAGCGGUUCUGACGUGCAAAUCGAUCGUCAAAUAUGGGCAUGGGGGCGAAAGACUAAUCGAACCUUCUAGUAGCUGGUUUCCGCCGAAGUUUCCCUCAGGAUAGCAGUGUUGAUCUCAGUUUUAUGAGGUAAAGCGAAUGAUUAGGGACUCGGGGGCGCUAUAUUGCCUUCAUCCAUUCUCAAACUUUAAAUAUGUAAGAAGCCCUUGUUGCUUAGUUGAACGUGGGCAU